ensembl:rRNA 5S_rRNA 5S ribosomal RNA
CUCUAUAGGCAUACUACCCUGAACAUUCCCAGUCUCAUCUGAUCUUGAAAGCUAAGCAGCGUCAGGCCUGGUUGUAUUUGGAUGAGAGAAGGAUAAAAUAAUGUUUUCAAAGUCAGUAAGCAGAGAUCCGUAUAGC